rfam:Ovis aries breed Texel chromosome 14, whole genome shotgun sequence.
UUCCUGGUGGUCCAGUGGCUGGGACUCUAUGCUUCCAAUGCAGGGGGCCUGGGUUCGAUCCCUGGCCAGGGAA